UACGAAGGAUGCAAGCGUUAUCCGGAUUUAUUGGGUUUAAAGGGUGCGUAGGCGGACUUAUAAGUCAGUGGUGAAAUCUCGUUGCUUAACAACGAACGUGCCAUUGAUACUGUAGGUCUUGAGUACAGAUGCCGUUGGCGGAAUGUGACAUGUAGUGGUGAAAUACAUAGAGAUGUCAUAGAACACCGAUUGCGAAGGCAGCUAACAAAACUGUAACUGACACUGAGGCUCGAAAGUGUGGGGAUCAAACAGG
rnacentral:rRNA from 1 species